CGAACUUGCACUGUGGAGAUGCCAUGGGCCAAAGUCCCAACAGCUAUGUUCUAAUACUGUACAUGUAUCAAUGCAUUAGAUGCAUGGAGAACCCAGAAAGAAAAUUUGAAAACUCUGGAAAUUGCAAUUUCAUUAACAUUCAUUUUGAAGGAUGCAAAUAAUGUUAUCUACUGGAGACAUAACCAAAUAUUUCUGUUUGAUCAGCACCUGAAUGAUCCACUGGUACAGGUACGGCACGGUAAAGCUGAGGAAACCACUGUGAGGAUGCUGAAAUGCCAAUGAUUACAAUUCCAUGUAGCCAAGGAAAUGGGGAUGAAUUUCCGCUGAAUUCUUUCCAACUGGCUGCUGUAAUUCCUGGCUCACGUCAAACAAAUGGAUGUAACCAGCUCUUUUUAAGCAGUGAUUAUUAUUCUACAGUACAUGGCUUGAAGGACUGUGAAAUGAAGAAAGGAAAGGCACCAGUGAGAUAUAGCUUUCUAUCAAGAGUCCUUCAACUAAAUGGGUCAAAAUGGUUCAACAGUCUGGUUGAAAGAGAGUGGUUUAUUUGUACUCUCACAUCUUCAAGCCUUGAAUAGAAAGGCAUCAGAUAGUUUAGUGAGAGCGUUUGGUUUUGAUUUAUGGUAUAUGUUACAUUUGAAUAAAUUACAACAUUUGUACAAAGUUUGAUCUUGGGUAAAUUUAUUCUAUAGAGUUACAGUAAUUGAGGAUGGUUACUGUUUUCUAGAAGAAGCAAUUGAAAUCAUUCCAGUGUUAGAUUAAAAUUAUUUCAUUUUAUUUGAUGUGUGAGGAAGUUGUCUUUUUACAAAGUUAACUGGUAGGUCCAAAUAAAUGCAAAUGAGUGCGCUGUUGCACAUAGAUUGAGAAAACAAUGAAACUGCUAGAGAUUAGUUGUGAGGUCUUUAAAGCAAAGAAGUCUUAAGGAUGCAAGUCCUAGUAGAUACAGCAAUCACAAAAAAGGAGAAAUAUUGGGCAGGAAGGAAGCGCAGAUGCUGGCUUAAACCAAAGAUAGACACAAAAUGCUGGAGUAACUCAGCGGGACAGGCAACAUCUCUGGAUAUCCAUAGAAAUAUUGGGCAACUGAGUAUUAUAUUCAUUGGCUACUCCUUAAUGCUAUAAUGCAAGUGAAAGUAAGAAAAAGGUCAUUGAAAUCUGUACAAAUCAGUUUGAAAUAUGACCAGAUAGGCAAAUGGGAAAUUAAGGCAACACAGCCAUUAAAUUAUAUCAACGUAACAUUACUGUUUAAAUUAAUGGAGGUUUAGAAGUGUGAGAUAACUUCUUUCAUAGGUGAAAGAGGAAGGACCAGCUGACCCUGUGGAAACAUAUGAAGGUCUAAUGUGGAACAACCAAAUCAGAAAUUAGUACAAAAAUUAGCAGUAAAAUAAAAGUGAUUUUUAUUAGAUAAACCAAAAGCUAUCAUUUCCCAGUGUGUAGUUACAAUGGAAUCUAACAUGACAUUUUCUCUACUCAUUUUGAAAUUUAUCAAGAGGAUCAGACUAGUUUAACAAAGGAAUCGCAUAUUAUCGCAUGCCUAAACUGAACACAGAGGGAGCAGUGCCAAGUGAAUGUGUCAAAAGCAUUUAAGAUGUCAGGAGAAUCAGCGUGAGUUUCAACAUUUUGAUUUAAACCAUUGGCCCCAUGCUAAUAGAGAAACAGUUUGAGAUCAAGGGUAGAGUAACCUGGGAAGAAGCCAAACUCUUGAUGGAAGAUUAAGGAUGUGGAAAAACAGUUUAAACCAU